AACCUUUAUGAUUCUGUGAUUCUAUAAUCAUGUUACAGGAAAAUUAUGAGAUGGAAUACUUGACAGGGUUAACAGGAGAAACUUUGUGAAUGUCCAGUGAGUUAGUUUACCAGCUUAGCAUAGAUCUUCACUGGCUUGAAGAUGAUGACCGCUUCCUUAGACACUUCAGUGCAGAACUUGGAUGAAGGAGAAGCCUCUGAGAAGAGCUCUGAGUCAAGUUGAUGCCUUAGGAACUAGAUCCCGAAGGAUGCUGAGGAUCUUUAAUGCCAAGAGUUGCUGAAGUUUUUCACCAGGAGGUAUUACUGAGCCAUCCUGCCAGGGUCCUCUGCCCUCCUUUCUGCGCUGGAAGUCAAUGCUCAAUCCUCUGAGCCCUGUGCUGUGAUGACGCGUGAGUGAUCACCGGGCCCCGGUGCUGCUGCUGUUGAUUUUCUUGAAGUCAGAAGCAGAAGCAAAGAUGUCCUGGGAGAGGGGAAUUCGUGCCCUUAGAAUAGCUGCGUGGAUGAAACAGAGGAUGAAAAAGCUUGAACACAAAUGUCUUGAUAAUAAACACAAAUGUGUUUAUUGCCAUCUAUUAAAGUGGGAUUUCUGCAAUUACAGUAAGAUGCUGCCAAGGAAGAAUAUGUGGAAUACAAGUGAAUGCAGUGCUGAUGAGGGUCCCGAAGUCCCACAAGAGUAGAAGUUGAGCCACUGGUGUGACUGAGGCAGGACACUGAAGCAAAGUGCUCAGCGGGCAGAGCCAUCCAUCCCUGGUGGGCGAGAAAUGAGCGCUGCUGGUGGCAGCCAGAGGAGUGCUGGGGCACUGCUGAGCGGGAGCGAUCUGGUACGGACAGCAGUGACUGAGAAAUCUCUCUCCCUCACUUCUAUCAGUGUGUCAGCUGCAUUCUCCCCUGCUCUUUCUCUGUGUCUGCAACACACAGAGCACCUGCGACGUCAGCUGGGGUCCCUGUGCUGCUUCAUAACACACCAUAAGGAAAAAAUGUCACAGAUGAAGGCCAGGCAGGCCUCAUUACUGUGACGGUGUAUCAGAUGCCACCAGAGCAAGGGGAACAAACAAGCUUUGUACGGAAUCAGUCUGUUGCAUACCCGCCUCAUUUUUAUGAAUAAUGGGUACGUUCUCAUAGUGUAGCAUGGUAAUUACCUUUUUUUGACUUACUAUAAAGGCUGAAGUAUGUCUGCUGAUGCUGCUUUAUCUGUUCAUUUCAAAUCAAUGGUACUGUGAAAUACAACUUCACAUAACU
rnacentral:lncRNA from 1 species